rnacentral:lncRNA from 1 species
CCACACUUACAGGAGGCAGGUAACAUACUGCAGAUGAUACUUAUCAAAAGACUACAACAGCAAAUCUCACACAGACACAACAGCAAAGUUUUAUUCCCACUGAGGUUUGAGGUUCGGGAUUAUAGACCUUAUGGACUUCAUAUAUACACAGACCCACACUUACAGGAGGCAGAAAACAUGUUCAUGGUAGAUAGAACGACCUUCUGGGGAUCUAGCAACAGCCUGUAUCAGGAAUUGUCACCCAUGGACCAUCUGCAUGUAAACAUGACAACUAAAUCAAAAGCUGUAAGAGCAGCAAUACAGACUUGCUUAUGACUGUAUGCCCAAGAGCACGUGUGUAUUUAUUUUAAGUUGUGGAAAGGGCUUUGGUUCACAGAAUGAAGUGUCCAUAGAUGGAAUUCAUGGCUAAGUUGCAAAUAGAGGCAACACAAUAGACAGAU